rnacentral:lncRNA from 1 species
GUUAAUAGUGUCUACCUCCUAGGGUUUGUGCUGUUUGAAUGAGAAAACACAAAUGCGCCUGGUGAAGCAUCAGGCACAUGGUAAUCUUUUAAAUGUUAGCAGUCUUAUUUAUUAUUCAUCCAUUUAGUUCAUUCAACAGAUUUGUAUGUGUACAGUGUUCCGGGCACUGCUAUAGGCCUGCAGAAGAGAGACAAACACGGCCGUUGCGGAGCGGGAGAGACAAACAGUAAAUGACAAAUCCUGUAGCAUGUUAGUGAACCCGACUGUGCAGAAUGGAGCAUCAGAGGGCAUCAGGGAAGCGGCUCAACUUGCUUCUGGUGCUUUGGGGGACCCUGCUCCCCUGCGGAGCCCCGCUGUGCUGCCAAGGCUGCUGAACACUUCCGUCAUUCCAGCCCAGACCGAUGAGGAUCCAGGUACUGUGCCACUCCUGCCAGUUUUGCUUGUAAUGGAAAAGAGAUGCCACCUCGACCCAGCAAACAGUACUCCCUGGAAUCUGUUUUCCCAUUUUCAGAAUCUUUUCCUGCCUGAGUGUCUGUCUUCCUCAGGUCUAACUGAGUUCCUUCCUGCUGCCACCAAGGGCCACACAGUCAGGUACUGUUCCGAGGAAAUGGAGAUGUUGGCCCUCUCCGUGCCAUUGCUAUCCACUGUGUCGUGUUGACGGGGUGAAGAAAUCCUCUGGCAUCUCUGCCUCUGUUUUGUCCUUCCGGCUCCUCCCAGUGGUCUGCUCUGCGUGGAGCACCAUCUGCCCAGCUGCUGAGCUUUUUCCAAGACAAAAGGUGCCCCACCCUGCCUGUGAGAACCUAUCAGACCUCCAGCCAGCAGCUUCCAGCACCAAGACUGGUUUGCUGCGGUGGGCGAACAAUUUGAUGAGUGCCAAAUGUCUUGAACUGCCAUGCUAGGAUUCGCUCCCACUUUAAAGAACAGUCCUGGGAGCCAGGAGAGGGGCCCUGAAUUCUUAGGGAGGCAUUAAGAAUAGUUCUGCCUAUCUCAUUUCCCUCUGAGAAUGUGCCUAGAAUGUGUGUGGUGUUGUGUGGUUCUGUGCGUUGUGCAUGUGUGGUAUAGGUAUGAUGUGUGGUAUUGUGUGGUAUGUGUCUGACAUGCACAACCUGUGGGGUGUGUGCUAUGUCUGCAUCUAUCUAGGGUAUAUAUGUAUUAUGUAUGUGAUAUGUGUGUGGUGUGUAUGUGUCUGGUGCAUGAUAUAUGUGUAGUGUGUAUGUAUGGGGCACGUGACGUGAAUGUGGUGUGUAUCUGUAAGCUGGCCAGUAGGUGUGUUUCCAUGUGCUGGGUGUGUGUGGAUGCAGGUAUACAAGCGUACAAAUGUGUUGGUGGGGAGGAUGCUGAUAAUCAAGAACUG